GACGAACGCUGGCGGCGUGCCUAAUACAUGCAAGUAGGACGCAGUUGCGAACGGGUGAGUAACGCGUAGGUAACUGCCUAUUAGAGGGGGAUAACUAUUGGAAACGAUAGCUAAUACCGCAUACUAGUAGAUGGACCUGCGUUGUAUUAGCUAGUAGGUAGGGUAAUGGCCUACCUAGGCGACGAUACAUAGCCGACCUGAGAGGGGGAUCGGGCACACUGGGACUGGAACAAGGCCCAGAAUCCUACGGGAGGCAGCCAGAGGGAAACUUCGGGAAUGGGGGGAACCCUGACCGAGCAACGCCGGGUGAAUGAAGAAGGUUUUCGGAUCGUAAAGCUCUGUUGUUAAGGAAGCGGUACUUAACCAGAAAGGGACGGCUAACUACGUGCCAGCAGCCGCGGUAAUAC
rnacentral:rRNA from 1 species